ensembl:lncRNA
AGAAGGACAAGAUGGCACUGCAUCGGCCUUUGAAAGAACUGGAGUUAACUACGUAGGAAAGCAAGAAGGGCAUUUAUGGCAGAGGAAUCAGUAUGAAUUCAGGAUCGGAUAUUCAGCCUCCUUUUAUUCACAGCGCUGAGCCUGACAGCACAAUGCACAUAACCCACAAGAGGCCCUAGUAUGCAGAUGAGGAUGUGACAGUGAUUUUGGAGUUGCCUUCAACUUUGGGGGAACAGAAGAAACUGAAACACAAAACAAACUUAGAGAAGCUGAAAGAAGCUAAAGUAUUUAAAAACAUAUUAAAUGGGAAUCACUUCUUACCUUGAAAUGUUCUCAAAUGUCAUAGCACAAGAGAACCGCGGUGGCAUUGUGAAUAUAAGACCAAAAGAAGAUGGCAGCAACAGACCAUGGAACACGUCUGUACUGUUUUCCAGUCUCCACGGCCACCACCUGCCUCCACAGGCACCACCUAAGGAUUCUCAGAGCUGCAGGAAUGAGAGUUUUUUCAACUUUUAUCCUCAUGGUGACUCCCCAUGCAGUUUCUUGAGGGCUGUGGUAAACCAUUUCUCUGUAAUAAAAAUACCCAUGAUACUCUUUUCUCUACUGCCUCUUUGAAAUGUAAGAUGGCAGUAUUUAAAAAAAAAAGAUGGCAGUAUUAAAAUUGCUUAUAUUGAAUGUACUGUCAUUUCCAAAAUUCUUCACAUGGUCA